rnacentral:misc_RNA from 1 species
GAACGCACCUUGCGCCCUUUGGCUAUUCCGAAGGGCAUGCCUGUUUGAGUAUCAUGAACAUCCUCAACUCCUCAUGGCUUGCCGUGAUGAGCUUUGGACUUUGGAGGUCUUUGCUGGCUUGUGGGUCAGCUCCUCUCAAAUGGAUCAGCUUACCAGUGUUCGGUGGCAUCACAGGUGUGAUAACUAUAUAUCUACGCUUGUGGCUUUCCGCUGGGUAACCUUCGUCACUGAAGGUUCACUGGGGCUCAUAAAUGUCUCUCCUCAGUGAAGACAGCUCUUUGAACGUUUGAUCUCAAAUCAGGUAGGACUACCCGCUGAACUUA